GCCCUAGUAGCUUAGACUAAAGCACCGGUCUUGUAAGCCGGAGAUUGAAGGUUAAAACCCAUCCUAGCGCU
rnacentral:tRNA from 1 species